rnacentral:rRNA from 1 species
AUUGAACGCUGGCGGCAGGCCUAACACAUGCAAGUCGAACGGUAACAGGAAGAAGCUUGCUUCUUUGCUGACGAGUGGCGGACGGGUGAGUAAUGUCUGGGAAACUGCCUGAUGGAGGGGGAUAACUACUGGAAACGGUAGCUAAUACCGCAUAACGUCGCAAGACCAAAGAGGGGGACCUUCGGGCCUCUUGCCAUCGGAUGUGCCCAGAUGGGAUUAGCUAGUAGGUGGGGUAACGGCUCACCUAGGCGACGAUCCCUAGCUGGUCUGAGAGGAUGACCAGCCACACUGGAACUGAGACACGGUCCAGACUCCUACGGGAGGCAGCAGUGGGGAAUAUUGCACAAUGGGCGCAAGCCUGAUGCAGCCAUGCCGCGUGUAUGAAGAAGGCCUUCGGGUUGUAAAGUACUUUCAGCGGGGAGGAAGGGAGUAAAGUUAAUACCUUUGCUCAUUGACGUUACCCGCAGAAGAAGCACCGGCUAACUCCGUGCCAGCAGCCGCGGUAAUACGGAGGGUGCAAGCGUUAAUCGGAAUUACUGGGCGUAAAGCGCACGCAGGCGGUUUGUUAAGUCAGAUGUGAAAUCCCCGGGCUCAACCUGGGAACUGCAUCUGAUACUGGCAAGCUUGAGUCUCGUAGAGGGGGGUAGAAUUCCACGUGUAGCGGUGAAAUGCGUAGAGAUCUGGAGGAAUACCGGUGGC